rnacentral:rRNA from 1 species
UGGGGAAUAUUGGACAAUGGGCGCAAGCCUGAUCCAGCCAUGCCGCGUGAGUGAUGAAGGCCCUAGGUUUGUAAAGCUCUUUCACCGGUGAAGAUAAUGACGGUAACCGGAGAAGAAGCCCCGGCUAACUUCGUGCCAGCAGCCGCGGUAAUACGAAGGGGGCUAGCGUUGUUCGGAUUUACUGGGCGUAAAGCGCACGUAGGCGGACUUUUAAGUCAGGGGUGAAAUCCCGGGGCUCAACCCCGGAACUGCCUUUGAUACUGGAAGUCUUGAGUAUGGUAGAGGUGAGUGGAAUUCCGAGUGUAGAGGUGAAAUUCGGAGAUAUUCGGGGGAACACCAGUGGCGAAGGCGGCUCACUGGACCAUUACUGACGCUGAGGUGCGAAAGCGUGGGGAGCAAACAG